AUCUUUAAAUUCUUCACUCACUUGAGAUUCAUUAAUCAUAUCACACAUAUUCUUAAGUGGUGGACAAGUUUUACACACAAGUUGAUUAACACAAUUUUCACAUAACGAUGUACUUUCAUUCAACACAAUAGCUUCAAUACUAGGUAGAUACAAAUCGAUCAUACUAGAAGAGUCGAUUCGGUCAUCUAUAGGAUCAACUAGUGUAUCCACUCACACAACAUGUACAUCAUCCACAAGUGGUAAGAAAUCAAUAUACUCAUAUGUAGGUAAGCUACUACUCACACUCAACAGCUUAUUAGUCACAUGUUCAUUAUUCACACGUACCAAAGUAUAAGAG
rnacentral:lncRNA from 1 species